UGGACGACGAGAACGCGACGGAGACCGACUGGGGGAGACGUAGUGAACGGGAGCUCAUUGAAGAACUUAGGGCAAGAAAACCCAAAAUUUAGAUGGAUAGAAAACAGGGUCCAUGAUUUUUGGGCCAGUACACAGAAUUGGUUAGCAUUGACCCGAAAAGAAAAAAGGGGUUAAAAGGUGAACUGGAACUAGAAGAGAAGGCGAAAUGUGAAGCUAAUUAGGGUUGAAAGGUGCCCUGUGACUUAUGGGGCGGUGGCCAGUGAGUAAACGGAAAGCACGUAUACAUCUCCUUUUGAUUUGAUUGUGAUCUGAUGCUAUGUUGUCGCAGAAUGAGGCAGUGAUGAUGGUGUUGUGCAUUUGAGCAUUGGCGAGCGAGGAUGAGCAUGGUGGCGAGGCGUUGUUUUUGUUGACGCAGCCAUCUUGUUCGUCGUAUUGCUCCUCUGAGUGUGAAUGCCAACCUGAGCCUCCUUUGACUCCUAUCAUUAGUUUAAGUAUGAGGCUUGACUUCUCAAUGCCUAUGAUUACUUUCCCUCUCUCGUUUCCCAACCCACAAGCAGCAGCAACAACAAAGAACAACAAGAAGAACAAAAUUCACACGCAAUGAUUUCCUCGCUCUUUCUCUCUCUCUCUCUUUCCGUUCAACUUGUGGAAUGGGAAUCAAUAUCCGAUCCCGAGACUAAUUAGUUUUUGAAUCUGUUUAGUGCGAGGACCAGUAUGGUUGAAUUGCACAAGGUAGAAAUGAAUCAGUGAUGUCGUCUUUAACGAGCAGAGAUGAUUUAAUCAUAUCAUUGUGCUGAGUUUCUUAUAACUUUUUAGUUUCAUUACCCCUCUCCUGCCCAGGUACUGCGAAGCGAAGCUAUUAAGAUGUUAUGAUACCACUCUUCAAGUAUUGGAGGACCUGCAUUUGUUGUAUAAAGUAUUCAACAGAUGCCACUAGUCCAAGUGACCAGCAGUGCAGCAGUAACUGCUGCAACCUGUUUGUUAUGUUCAUUCUCGAGAAAGUUGUACUAUAUCUAUAAAUUAUUUGUAAAUCACCCGAGACAGUGACCAAUUCUUUCGAUAUUCGACUUAUUUUGAUAAUCACCAAUUCACCAUCA